UCCCUGGAGGACAAGUGGUUAAGCCACAGUGCUCUCACCGCUGCAGCAUGGGCUCGAUUCCCGGCCAGGGAA
rnacentral:tRNA from 1 species